AUGCAAGUCGAACGGUAACAGGAAGCAGCUUGCUGCUUCGCUGACGAGUGGCGGACGGGUGAGUAAUGUCUGGGAAACUGCCUGAUGGAGGGGGAUAACUACUGGAAACGGUGGCUAAUACCGCAUAACGUCGCAAGACCAAAGAGGGGGACCUUCGGGCCUCUUGCCAUCAGAUGUGCCCAGAUGGGAUUAGCUUGUUGGUGAGGUAACGGCUCACCAAGGCGACGAUCCCUAGCUGGUCUGAGAGGAUGACCAGCCACACUGGAACUGAGACACGGUCCAGACUCCUACGGGAGGCAGCAGUGGGGAAUAUUGCACAAUGGGCGCAAGCCUGAUGCAGCCAUGCCGCGUGUAUGAAGAAGGCCUUCGGGUUGUAAAGUACUUUCAGCGGGGAGGAAGGUGUUGUGGUUAAUAACCGCAGCAAUUGACGUUACCCGCAGAAGAAGCACCGGCUAACUCCGUGCCAGCAGCCGCGGUAAUACGGAGGGUGCAAGCGUUAAUCGGAAUUACUGGGCGUAAAGCGCACGCAGGCGGUCUGUCAAGUCGGAUGUGAAAUCCCCGGGCUCAACCUGGGAACUGCAUUCGAAACUGGCAGGCUUGAGUCUUGUAGAGGGGGGUAGAAUUCCAGGUGUAGCGGUGAAAUGCGUAGAGAUCUGGAGGAAUACCGGUGGCGAAGGCGGCCCCCUGGACAAAGACUGACGCUCAGGUGCGAAAGCGUGGGGAGCAAACAGGAUUAGAUACCCUGGUAGUCCACGCCGUAAACGAUGUCUACUUGGAGGUUGUGCCCUUGAGGCGUGGCUUCCGGAGCUAACGCGUUAAGUAGACCGCCUGGGGAGUACGGCCGCAAGGUUAAAACUCAAAUGAAUUGACGGGGGCCCGCACAAGCGGUGGAGCAUGUGGUUUAAUUCGAUGCAACGCGAAGAACCUUACCUGGUCUUGACAUCCACAGAACUUUCCAGAGAUGGAUUGGUGCCUUCGGGAACUGUGAGACAGGUGCUGCAUGGCUGUCGUCAGCUCGUGUUGUGAAAUGUUGGGUUAAGUCCCGCAACGAGCGCAAC
rnacentral:rRNA from 1 species